AUUGAACGCUGGCGGCAUGCCUUACACAUGCAAGUCGAACGGCAGCAUGAUCUAGCUUGCUAGAUUGAUGGCGAGUGACGAACGGGUGAGUAAUACAUCGGAACGUGCCCUGUAGUGGGGGAUAACUAGUCGAAAGAUUAGCUAAUACCGCAUACGACCUGAGGGUGAAAGUGGGGGACCGCAAGGCCUCAUGCUAUAGGAGCGGCCGAUGUCGGAUUAGCUAGUUGGUGAGGUAAAGGCUCACCAAGGCGACGAUCAGUAGCUGGUCUGAGAGGACGAUCAGCCACACUGGGACUGAGACACGGCCCAGACUCCUACGGGAGGCAGCAGUGGGGAAUUUUGGACAAUGGGGGCAACCCUGAUCCAGCAAUGCCGCGUGUGUGAAGAAGGCCUUCGGGUUGUAAAGCACUUUUGUCCGGAAAGAAAUCGCACUUACUAAUAUUAGGUGUGGAUGACGGUACCGGAAGAAUAAGGACCGGCUAACUACGUGCCAGCCGCCGCGGUAACAC
rnacentral:rRNA from 1 species